AGAGUUUGAUCCUAGCUCAGGGUGAAUGCUAGCGGUGCGCCUAACACAUGCAAGUCGAGCGGUAGUAUUUUCUAGCUUGCUAGAGAAUAUGAGAGCGGCGAACGGGUGCGUAACACGUUGAUAUCUGCCCAUAGGUCAGGGAUAGCCCAGAGAAAUCUGGAUUAAUACCGGAUAAUCUCUACGGAGAAAAGAUUUAUCGCCUAUGGAGGAGUCUGCGGUCUAUCAGCCUGUUGGUGAGGUAAAAGCUCACCAAGGCUAUGACGGAUAGCUGGUCUGAGAGGAUGACCAGCCACAAUGGAACUGAGACACGGUCCAUACUCCUACGGGAGGCAGCAGUGAGGAAUCUUCCACAAUGGACGAAAGUCUGAUGGAGCGACACCGCGUGAAGGAUGAAGGUCUAACGAUUGUAAACUUCUUUUCUGAAGGAGCAUAAUGAGAGUACUUCAGGAAUAAGGGACGGCUAAAUACGUGCCAGCAGCCGCGGUAAUACGUAUGUCCCAAGCAUUACCCGGAAUCAUUGGGUGUAAAGCGUUUGUAGGUGGUUAAGUAAGUCAGGUAUGAAAGACCGGAGCUCAACUCCGUGUUUGUGCUUGAAACUGCUUAACUAGAAUCAGGGAGAGGUAGCGGAAUUCUGAGUGUAGGGGUGCAAUCCGUAGAUACUCAGAGGAACACCAAAAGCGAAGGCAGCUUACUGGAACUGUAUUGACGCUGAGAAACGAAAGCGUGGGUAGCGAAAAGGAUUAGAUACCCUUGUAGUCCACGCCCUAAACGAUGAUGACUAAGUGUUCCCGCUAGACGGGAGUGCUGUAGCUAACGCGUUAAGUCAUCCACCUGAGGAGUACGGUCGCAAGAUUAAAACUCAAAGGAAUAGACGGGGACCCACACAAGCAGUGGAUCACGUGGUUUAAUUCGACAAUAAACGGGGAACCUUACCCAGACUUGACAUCCUGAGAAUCUCUUAGAGAUAAGAGAGUGCCUUUAUUGGAGCUCAGUGACAGGUGCUGCAUGGUUGUCGUCAGCUCGUGCCUUGAGGUGUUCGGUUAAGUCCGUUAACGAGCGCAACCCAUGUUCUUAGUUAUUAUGUCUAAGAAGACAGCCUAUGUUAAAUAGGAGGAAGGUGUGGAUGAUGUCAAAUCAGCAUGGCUUUUACGUCUGGGGCUACACACAUGAUACAAUGGUCUGUACAAAGAGUAGCGAUAUCGUAAGAUUGAGCCAAUCUCAUAAAGCAGAUCUAAGUCCGGAUUGAGGUCUGCAACUCGACCUCAUGAAGUUGGAAUUGCUAGUAAUCGUGAAUCAGAUAUGUCACGGUGAAUAUGUUCCUGGGUCUUGUACUCACCGCCCGUCAUGGCAUGGGAGGUAGUAAUGUCGGAAGUCCCCCUAGUAAUAUGGGGGCCCAUGGCAGGACUACUGACUGGGCUAAAGUCGUAACAAGGUA
rnacentral:rRNA from 1 species